AAGGGAGGAGAAACUGGUUUUUAGUUGGCAAGCCAUUCACAGUCUUUGUUUAAUCCUGAGCUGAUGGUUUCAAAUUUGCAUAUAAACUGAAGCGCAGCAGUUUCUAUUUGAAGUCUGAUCCUGAAGUUUUUUUGCUGCAGGAUGGCCACCUUAAAGUCUGCUAU